rnacentral:rRNA from 1 species
GCUUAACACAUGCAAGUCGAGCGGUAAGGCCCUUCGGGGUACACGAGCGGCGAACGGGUGAGUAACACGUGGGUGAUCUGCCUCGCACUUCGGGAUAAGCCUGGGAAACUGGGUCUAAUACCGGAUAUGACCUUUCAGUGCAUGCUGUUUGGUGGAAAGAUUUAUCGGUGCGAGAUGGGCCCGCGGCCUAUCAGCUUGUUGGCGGGGUAACGGCCCACCAAGGCGACGACGGGUAGCCGACCUGAGAGGGUGACCGGCCACACUGGGACUGAGACACGGCCCAGACUCCUACGGGAGGCAGCAGUGGGGAAUAUUGCACAAUGGGCGAAAGCCUGAUGCAGCGACGCCGCGUGAGGGAUGACGGCCUUCGGGUUGUAAACCUCUUUCGACAGGGACGAAGCGAGAGUGACGGUACCUGUAGAAGAAGCACCGGCCAACUACGUGCCAGCAGCCGCGGUAAUACGUAGGGUGCGAGCGUUGUCCGGAAUUACUGGGCGUAAAGAGCUUGUAGGCGGUUUGUCGCGUCGUCCGUGAAAACUUGGGGCUCAACCCCAAGCUUGCGGGCGAUACGGGCAGACUUGAGUACUUCAGGGGAGACUGGAAUUC